GGGAAUCUACCCAACCCUACGGAAUAACGCAUGGAAACGUGUGCUAAUACCGUAUACGCCCUUAGGGGGAAAGAUUUAUCGGGGAUGGAUGAGCCCGCGUUGGAUUAGCUAGUUGGUGGGGUAAAGGCCUACCAAGGCGACGAUCCAUAGCUGGUCUGAGAGGAUGAUCAGCCACAUUGGGACUGAGACACGGCCCAAACUCCUACGGGAGGCAGCAGUGGGGAAUAUUGGACAAUGGGCGCAAGCCUGAUCCAGCCAUGCCGCGUGAGUGAUGAAGGCCCUAGGGUUGUAAAGCUCUUUCACCGGUGAAGAUAAUGACGGUAACCGGAGAAGAAGCCCCGGCUAACUUCGUGUCAGCAGCCGCGGUAAUACGAAGGGGGCUAGCGUUGUUCGGAAUUACUGGGCGUAAAGCGCACGUAGGCGGAUAUUUAAGUCAGGGGUGAAAUCCCGGGGCUCAACCCCGGAACUGCCUUUGAUACUGGGUAUCUAGAGUCCAGAAGAGGUGAGUGGAAUUCCGAGU
rnacentral:rRNA from 1 species